CAUAACAGUGGCUUAGUUAAAGGAACUCAGCGAAAACGGGUCUUCGUGAAACAAUUUUCACUGCUUAUGGACCCGAACAUGGGUGAUCUAUCCAUGACCAUGAUGAAGUUUAGGUGAAACUAAGUUAAGGUCCGAACCGACUAAUGUUGAAGAAUCAACGAAUGAAUUAUUGUUAGGGGUGAAAUACCACUUCAACCCAAAGUUAGCUAG
rnacentral:ncRNA from 1 species